ensembl:lncRNA
AGUGGUGAGCAGCAGGAUGUGAAAGUGGAUGAACUCCUGUGAGAUUCAGUAGAAGAACACUCCCUCCUCGCUUCUGGGUGUCCUGACGCACCUUACCAACAGCAAGGUCACAUCCUCGCUGCCGUCCCUGCAGAGGAGCCUGAAGCGAGUUCUGUGCCCAAUGGAACCACAUCAGGGACCUGCUGUCCCGGGAUGACCCUGUGAGACAGGAGGGGCAGAGCCACCGAGACCAUGCUGAGUGGCGCAAGAUGGCUGAGCGCCUCGCCCUGCAGCUCUGCCCAGCUUCCCCACAGGCGGACUGGCCACGAGGGCUUCCCAGCCAAGCCUUGGAGGUGCCGGUGGACUCAUAUUUCCCUGGGAACAACUAUGUGGGAACGCAGCCUGGGAAGUGUUGGUUGCAGUUGCCCAGUCAGUGCCGUGAGUCAAGCUGUAGGAAAGGAGUGAAACACAGAGGUCAGGUGUGUCCCACAGUGGGCACGCCAGGACCUUUUAUAUUUCACAUCGGAUGUCUUUGAGUUCUCCUCUUUCUCGAAAUUCUGCCUCUGUCUGAGGCAUUCGCUGGCAAAAAUGUCUUUCUCACUUGGUAGGUCUGUCCCUUGUCCUCUUGGUGGUUGCCUGUACUUUGCAGAAGGUUUAUGAUUGGAUCCAGUCCCACUUGUAGAUUUUGUAGACUGUCACUAUUAUAUAUACAGUAGGCAUUCUGCUGAGGACGUCUGUGCCUAGGCUUUAUGUUCAACAGUAUGUGUUUUCAUCCCCGGAUCUAUGGUCCAGUGGGGUUUGCUUUUGGCACAGGGUGAGAGAGAUGGGCAGAGUUGGUCCUGUGCACGUGGACCACCAGUUGUCCCGGCGCCAUUUGUCUGUGGCCUGUGUUUUCUCCAGCCUAGGUUAUUGGCCCCUUUGUCCAAGAUCCAGUGGCUGAAGGUUUUUGGGGUUGUUUGUGCACCCUCUAUUCUGUUCCCUGUGUCCACGUGUCGUGUCUGUGUGCAUGCGUUGGUACCAUUCUGUCUCUCAUGGUUUGCCCAGGGAGGGAAGUGAGGAAGUCUUCCCGUUCCUUAGGAGACAGUCUGAAUCUCCCAAGGAUGUUCCCCCGUGCGUCCUGUUGUCUCACGGAGAGAGCCAUUCAUUCACUUCCAUUGGCACCAGGGUUUGUACUGGGUCUUGAGGUGAGUUCAGGUCAUGACUGUUGUAUGUGUGCGUGCGUUUGUUUGUGUUUGCAGGACCUCAAGACACCGGGAACCAAGAGGAAGUGGCGUGGGAGGCAGUUUCCGCCUGGUGAGUGUGAGGGUCACGGGCUUUGGAGGCAGAGAUGGCCUCUGAGAUCUCAGGUGCAGGGAAAAGCAGUUUGAGUAUGAAGGUUAGUGUUAGUUUUCAUGUUAGAGUGAGGUGCAGUGUUGGAUUUCAAGUAUCAGAGCAUUGCAAUGUGUCUAUGACUGGUCAUGAUAGGGUUAGGGUUAGGGUUAGGGAUAUGGUUGGAAUUCAAGUACCUGAUUUGUUGUAGUGUGAGUGCAAAGAUUUUGCUUUGGAUUAGUGUUAUGAUGAAGUAGAUUUUUGGAUUUCAAGUACCUGACCAUUACAGUGUGGCUAUGAUGGGUAGUGUUAGGGUUUCAAUUUGGGUCUGUGUUGGGUUUAGCCUUAGAGUUAGGGACAUGGUUGGAAUACAAUUAAUUACCUGUUUAUUGGGCUGUGAGUAUGAUGGUUAGGGUUAAGAUUACUUUAAGAAUUAGGUAUAUUUUUUUAUUUUGAGAACCUUAGCAUUACCCUGUGGAUCUGGCUGGUAGUGUUAAGGCUAGGGUUUGGGUUAGGAUUACAGUUAGGGCUUGCUUUUGGUUUAAGUAAUAGUCUUGGAAUUUAAGUUUCUGUGUUUUGGAGUGUGAGUGUAAUUAUUAUGGUUAGGUUUCAGGUUCAUUAUAGGGUUCAAAUUUUUGUAGCUGAGUUUUGGAUUGUAGAUAUGAAUAUUUGUUUUUGAGAUCAUGUUAGGGUAAGUGUAACAGUGUUGGAAUUCUGGAACCAGACUAUUGGAGUAUGUGAAGUAUGUUUAGUAUUAGGGUUAGAGUUAUGGUUAAGGUUAGAGUUAGGGUAAGGGGUCUGUUUGGAUUUCAAAUACCUGAUUAUUUAAGUUUGAGUACAAAUGUUAGUGUUAGGUGUAGUGUUAGGGUGAGUUACUAUGUUGUAUUUCAAGAACCUGAGCAUUGCUAUGUAGUUAUGAUGGUUAGUGUUAGGGUUAGGGUUAGGGUUGGGGAUAUGGUUGGAAUUCAAGUAACUGAUUAUUGUUGUGUGAGUAUGGAUGCUUAGGGUUAGGGUGAGUGUUACAGUUGGGUAUAUUUUUGCAUUUGAAAAACCUGAGUAUUUCAGGAUGGCUAUUACUGGUAGUUUUAAGUUUAGUUAGGGUUAGGGUUAUUGUUGGGGUAAGCAACAGUCUUGGACUUUGAGUACCUUUGUAUUGGAGUGUGGCUUUGAUGGUUAGUAUUAGAGUUAGUUUUACAGUUAGGGUUAGGGAUAGUGUAGGAAUUCAACUACCUGUGUAUUGGAUUGUGGAUAUGAUGGUUAGGAUUAGGGUUAGCUUUAGAGUUAGCUUUAGGGUUCAAAGUCAUAUACCUGAGUUUUUGAGUGUGGGUAUGAAUGUUAGUUUUGGGUUUCAUGUUAGGGUAAAAGUUACAAAUAGUCUUGGAAUUCAGUUAACAGACUAUUGAAGUGUGGAUAUUAUGGUUAGUGUUAGUGUCAGUGUUAGGGUUAAGGAUAGUGUAGGAAUUCAAGUACCUGAUUAUUUGAGUGUGAGCAUGAUGCUCAGGGUUAGCUUUCAUGUUAGGGAUGGGUAUCCUGUUGGAUUUCAAUAUGUGAGCAAUUCAGUGUGGCUAUGAUAGGUAGUGAUAGGGUUAGGGUUAAGGUUAGGGUUAGGAAUAUCAGAAUUUCAGAAUCUGUGUAUUCAAGUGUGGUUUUGAAAGUUAGUGUUAACAUUAGUUUUUAGGAAUGGGGUUAGGGAUAGUGUAAAAUACAAGUACCUGGCUACUGGCUGUGGAUAUGAGGGUGAUAGUUAGGGUUAGGGCUAUGUUUAGGGUUAGGUUUAGGGUUCAAAUAUAUGUACCUCAGUUUUGGAAUGUAGGUUUGAUUGCUAAGGUUAGGGUUCAUGUUCUUGUAAGAGUUUCAGAUAGUACUGGCAUUCAGACACCUGACUAUUGGAGUGUGAUAAUCAUGCUUAGUGUUAGUGUUAGGUCUAGAGUUAGUGAUAGGUUUAGGGUUAGGGUUGAUGUUGGGGUAAGUGAUAGUCUUGGAAUUCAAGCCUGUAUGUGAGUAUGAUGCUUAGGGGUAGAUUUAGUUUUAGGGUGAGGUACACUGUUGGAUUUCAAGUACCUGAGCAUUGCAAUGUGGCUAUGAUGUGUAGUGUUAGAAUUAGGGUUAAGGUUAGGUUUGGGGUUCAGGAUAUGAUUGGAAUUCAAGUACCUGAUAUUGGAGUGUGAGUGUGAUGGGUAGGGUUAGGAUUAGUGUUAGGGUUAGGUAUAUUGUUGGAUUUGAAGAUCUUCAGUAAUGCACUGUGGCUAUUACUGAUAGUAUUAGGGUUAGGGUUAAGGUUUGGGUUAUGGUACCUGAUAAUCUUGGAAUUUAAGUACCUGUUAUUGGGGUGAGUUUGACAAUAUUAGCAUUGAUUUUAGGCUUGAUGUAAGGGCUAGUGUACAAAUUCAACUACCUGUGUAUUGGAUUGUGGAUAUGUUGGUUAUGGAUAGGGUUAGGUUUAGGGUUACAUUCAGUGUUCAAAUUCAUAUACCUGAGGUUUGGAGUGUGGGUGUGAAUGUUUUUAGGUUUGUGUUAGGAUAUGGCUUACAGAUAGUGUUGGAAUUCAGGUACUUGAGUAUUUGGGUAUGGCUAUUACUGUUAGUGUUAGGGUCAGUGUUAGUGUUAAGGAUAGUGUUGGAAUUAAAGUACCUGAUUAUUUGAGUGUGAGCGUGAUGGUCAGAGGUAGGGUUAGUGUUAGUGAUUGGUGUCUUGUUGGAUUUCUAUAAGUAAGCAUUUCAGUGUGGCUAUAUUCGUUAGUGUUAGGGUUAAGGUUAGGGUUAGGUGUAGGAAUAGUGUCAGAAUUUAAUCCUCGCAAGCACAAGGUCUUGCGUUAGAUCCUGGUACAAAAAAAAUGUAAGAAUCUGUCUUUUGCAAUGUGGUUUUGAAAUUUAGUGUUAAUGUUAGUUUUAGGAUUAUGGUUAGAGAUAGUGUUGAAAUCCAAGUACCUUGAUAUUGGAUUGUGGCUAUGAGGGUUAGAGUUAGGGUAAGGGUUAGUUUUAGGAUGAGGUUUAGGAUUCAAAUUCAUGUGCCUCAGCUUUGGAGUUUGGGUUUUAUUGUUGGGCUUAGGGUUUGUGUUAUUGUAAGAGUUUAAUAUAGUGUUGGCAUUCACAUACCUGAAUAUUGCAGUGUGGGUAUCAUGGUUAGUUUUUGGGUUAGUGUUAGGUUUAUGUUUAUGGAUAUAUUUAGAGUUCAAGUACCUGAUGGUUGUAGUGUGAGUAUGAAGAUUAGAGUUAGGGUUAGUAUUAUGGUGAGGCACGUUGUUUGAUUUCAAGAACCUGAGCAUUGGAGUGCAGCUAUGAUGUGUAGUGUUAUGGUUUGGGUUUGGGGUAAUAUUGGGGUUAUGGUAAGGGUUAGGGACAUGGUUGAAAUUCAAAUACCUGAUUAUUGGCAUGUGAGUAUGAUGGUUAGGGUUAGAACUACUUAAGGGGUUAGGUAUGUUUUUUUUAUUUGGAUAACCUUAGUAUUACCCUGUGCAUAUGACUGUUAGUGUUAUUUCUAGGGCUAGUGUUAGCAUUAGGGUUAGGCCUUAGGUUUAGGGUUGGUGUUGGUGUCAGUAAUAGUCUUGGAUUUAAGUUUCUAUAAAUUAGAGUGCGAAUAUGAUGAUUAGAGUUAGGUUUAGGGUUCAAAUUCAUGUACCUGAGUUUUGGAGUGUUGAUAUGAAUGUUAGUUUUUGAGUUCAUGUUAGGGUGAGGGUUAAAGAUACUGAUCAAAUUUAGGCAGCUGACUAUUGGAGGGUAUGGAUUAUGCUUAGUGUUAUGGUGAGCAUUAGGUUUAGGGUUAGUGUUAGGGUAAGAGAUCUGUUUGAAAUUCAAGUACCUGAUUAUUGAAGUGUGAGUAUGAUGGUUAGGGUUAGGAUUAGUGUUAGGGUUAGGUAUAUGUUUAGAUUUGAAGGUCCUCAGUAAUGAAUUGUGGCUAUUACUGAUAGUGUUAGGUUUAGAGUUUUAGACAGGGUUAUGUUUGGGGUAAGUGAUAGUCUUACAAUUGAAGUACCUGUGAUUGGGGUGUGGGUUUGAUUGUUACUGUUCGCUUUAGUUUUAGGGUUAGGUUUAGGGAUUGUGUCAGAAUUCAACCACCUCUGUAGUGUAUUAAUGGAUAUGAUGGUUAGGGUUAGGGUUAGGUUCAGGGUUCAAAUUCAUAUACCUGAGGGUUUUUGGGGGUUUUGUUUUGUUUUGUUUUGUUUGUUACCAGGGAUCAAACUCAGAACCUUGUGCUUGCAAGGCAGGUGGUGGAACCACUGAACUAAAUCCCCAGCCCCUACCUGAGUUUUGAAGUGUGGGUAUGAAUGUUAGUUUUUGAGUUCAAGUUAGUGUAAGGGUUACAGAUGGUGUUUAAAUUCAGGUCCCUGAUUAUUGAAGUGGGGGUGUUAUGGUUAGUGACAGGGUCAGUGUUAGGGUUAAGGUUGGUGUUGGAAUUCAACUACCUGGUUAUUUGAGUGUGAGCAUGAUAGUAAGGGUUAUGAUUAGUGUUAGGGAUUGGUAUCCUGUUGGAUUUCGAUACAGAGCAUUUUAGUGUGGCUGACUGCUAGCAUUUAGGGAUAGGGUUAGGUUUAGGGUUAUAUUAAAGGUUCAGUUCAGGAAUAGUGUCAGGAUUUAAAAAUCCUAGUAUUGUAGUAGUAUGGUUUUGAAAGUUAGUGUAAAUGUCAGUUUUAGCAUUAGGGUUAGGGAUAGUGUAGAAAUACAAAUACUUGGGUAUUAGAUUGUGGGUAUGAGGGUUACAGUUAGGGCUAUGUUUAAGAUUAUUUUUAGGGUUCAAAUUCAUGUGAAUUGGCUUUGGAGUUUGAGUGUGAUUGUUAGGCUUCGUAUUCCUGUUAUUGUAAGGGCUUUGAAUAGUGUUGGCAUUCACAUACCUACCUGUUGGAAUGUGGAAAUCAUGGUUUGUGUUAGGGUUAGGGUUAGGGUUAGGGUUUG